rnacentral:rRNA from 1 species
UACGUAGGGGCUAGCGUUGUCCGGAAUCAUUGGGCGUAAAGGGUUCGUAGGCGGUAAUACAUGUCAGAUGUGAAAUCUUGUGGCUUAACCACAUCAAGCAUCUGAAACUGUAUAACUUGAGUGAAGGAGAGGUAAGUGGAAUUCCUAGUGUAGCGGUGAAAUGCGUAGAUAUUAGGAAGAAUACCAGUAGCGAAGGCGACUUACUGGCCUUUAACUGACGCUGAGGAACGAAAGCGUGGGUAGCAAACAGGAUUAGAUACCCUGGUAGU